rnacentral:rRNA from 1 species
CGGUAAUACGGAGGAUCCAAGCGUUAUCCGGAAUCAUUGGGUUUAAAGGGUCCGUAGGCGGUUUAAUAAGUCAGUGGUGAAAUCUGGUCGCUUAACGAUCAAACGGCCAUUGAUACUGUUAGACUUGAAUUACUAGGAAGUAACUAGAAUAUGUAGUGUAGCGGUGAAAUGCUUAGAUAUUACAUGGAAUACCAAUUGCGAAGGCAGGUUACUACUAGUGGAUUGACGCUGAUGGACGAAAGCGUGGGGAGCGAACAGGAUUAGAUACCCUGGUAGUCCACGCCGUAAACGAUGGAUACUAGCUGUUCGGAGCAAUCUGAGUGGCUAAGCGAAAGUGAUAAGUAUCCCACCUGGGGAGUACGUUCGCAAGAAUGAA